GGGCCCGCACAAGCGGUGGAGCAUGUGGUUUAAUUCGAUGAUACGCGAGGAACCUUACCAGGGCUUAAAUGCAGAACGACAGAGGUGGAAACACCUCCUUCUUCGGACGGUCUGCAAGGUGCUGCAUGGUUGUCGUCAGCUCGUGCUGUGAAGUGUCAGGUUAAGUCCUAUAACGAGCGCAACCCCUGUUGUUAGUUGCCAGCGAGUCAUGUCGGGAACUCUAACAAGACUGCCGGUGCAAACCGUGAGGAAGGUGGGGAUGACGUCAAAUCAUCACGGCCCUUACGUCCUGGGCUACACACGUGCUACAAUGGUCGGUACAGAAAGCAGCCACUAUGCGAAUAGGAGCUAAUCUCAGAAAGCCGGUCAUAGUCCGGAUUGCAGUCUGCAACUCGACUGCAUGAAGUCGGAAUCGCUAGUAA
rnacentral:rRNA from 1 species